AACAAACGCUGGCGGCGUGCCUAACACAUGCAAGUCGUACGAGAAAGGGUCCUUCGGGGCCUGAGUAAAGUGGCGCACGGGUGAGUAACGCGUGGAUAGUCUGCCCUUCAGUUGGGAAUAACUCAUCGAAAGGUGGGCUAAUACCGAAUAAUGCUGUGAGACCUCGGUUGAUCAGCCAAAGAGAGCCUCUGCCUGCAAGCCCUCGCUGAAGGAUGAGUCCGCGUACCAUUAGCUAGUUGGUAGGGUAAUGGCCUACCAAGGCGACGAUGGUUAGCUGGUCUGAGAGGAUGAUCAGCCACACUGGAACUGAGACACGGUCCAGACUCCUACGGGAGGCAGCAGUGAGGAAUCUUGCGCAAUGGGGGCAACCCUGACGCAGCAACGCCGCGUGAGUGAGGAAGGUCUUCGGAUCGUAAAGCUCUGUCGGAUGGAAAGAACCGCAUAGGGGUAAACAGCCCCUGUGUCUGACGGUACCAUCAAAGGAAGCACCGGCUAACUCCGUGCCAGCAGCCGCCGUAAAAC
rnacentral:rRNA from 1 species